GGGGAGGUGGCUCAGUGGUAGAGUGCUUGCCUUGCAUGCAUGAGGCCCUGGGCUCGAUUCCUCUGUACCA
rnacentral:tRNA from 1 species